AGAAUAAUACCUUCCAGCUUUCCAAUGAUUACCGCAAAAAAAUCUUCAAAUGUCAAGUCUGCAUAACCCAAGGACUGUAGUGCCUUCCUACUCUUUUCAAUAUUAGCUUGUAUACGUUCAACCUCUGCUUGAUCUUGACUUAG